GCUAUUCCUGAAUGGAAAUGGGAUAAAAUUGGUAUGGAUUUCAUUACCGGCUUUCCCAGGACCAAGAGAGGGAAUAAUGCUAUCUUCGUCGUGGUCGAUCGUCUUUCCAAAGUAGCUCAUUUCUUACCUGUUCGUGAGAGUAUAACCGCUAGUCAGCUGGCAGAUUUGUACAUCUCCCGAAUAGUGUCUCUCCAUGGUGUUCCUUUGGAAAUUAACUUGGAUCGAGGAAGUCUUUUCACCUCUCGAUUUUGGGAAAGUUUCCAAAAUGCUAUGGGAACCCGUCUCUCCUUUAGCACCGCUUUCCACCCUCAGUCGAGUGGUCAAGUGGAACGCGUCAAUCAGAUUCUAGAAGACAUGCUUCGAGCCUCCGUUAUCUCUUUCGGAAUGGACUGGGAGAAGUGCCUUCCAUUUGCCGAAUUCGCUUACAACAACAGCUAUCAAUCUAGCUUGGGUAAAGCCCCUUUUGAAGUUCUCUAUGGACGACGAUGUCGAACACCCCUUAACUGGUCAGAGACCGAGGAAAGACAAUUCUUUGGCCCGGAUAUGAUUCAGGAAGCAGAAGAACAAGUUCGUAUCGUUCGUGAAAAGUUGAAAACAGCCCAAUCUCGUCAAAAGAGUCAAUAUGACCGAAAACAUAAGGCUAUGACUUUCGAGGUUGACGAGAAGGCUUAUCUUCGGGUCACCCCUCUGAAGGGAACCCAUCGUUUCGGUAUCAAAGGCAAAUUGGCUCCUCGUUACAUUGGACCUUUUCGCAUUCUUGCCAAACGAGGAGAAGUUGCCUACCAGUUGGAACUACCU
rnacentral:rRNA from 1 species